rnacentral:rRNA from 1 species
UACGUAGGGAGCAAGCGUUGUUCGGAUUUACUGGGCGUAAAGGGCGCGUAGGCGGCAAUUCAAGUCAGCUGUGAAAUCUCCGGGCUUAACUCGGAACGGUCAGCUGAUACUGCUUUGCUAGAGUGCGGAAGGGGCAAUCGGAAUUCUCGGUGUAGCGGUGAAAUGCGUAGAUAUCGAGAGGAACACCUGAGGUGAAGACGGGUUGCUGGGCCGACACUGACGCUGACAGCGCGAAAGCCAGGGGAGCGAAUGGG